GAAUAGUUUCCAUCAUCUGUGUGUGUGUGUUUGGAACAAUGGAGUUCUCAGAGAGAGAGAGAGAGAGAGAGAGAGAGAGAGAGAGAGAGAGAGAGAGAGAGAGAGAGAGAGAGAGAGAAUGAAAAUGUGAAUGUAUGCCAUAAAAUAAGAAAAAAGCUGCUCAAAAUGACCUGAACAGCUGCUCCUGUGUUUUUACCUGCAACAUUAAAAUCACACUAUUUGUUCAUUUUAUAUUUAAUAUUAUCAUUAUUAUUGUUGUUGUUGUUGUUAUAUUACUGUUUCAUAUUAUUUCCCAUUAUUGUCGUUAUUUAUUGUGUUGUAAUGCUUUGGCAGUAUUGUAAUAACAGUCAUGCCGAUAAAGCUUAUUGAAAUUGAACUGAAUUGAG